UGCUGUCGUUAGGAAACGGAUU
rnacentral:miRNA from 1 species